ACGUAGGGUGCAAGCGUUAAUCGGAAUUACUGGGCGUAAAGCGUGCGCAGGUGGUUGUACAAGACCGACGUGAAAUCCCCGGGCUCAACCUGGGAAUGGCGUUGGUGACUGUGCGACUAGAGUGUGGCAGAGGGGGGUGGAGUUCCACGUGUAGCAGUGAAAUGCGUAGAGAUGUGGAGGAACACCGAUGGCGAAGGCAGCCCCCUGGGCUAACACUGACACUCAUGCACGAAAGCGUGGGGAGCAAACAG
rnacentral:rRNA from 1 species